GGCCAGACUCCUACGGGAGGCAGCAGUGGGGGAUAUUGCACAAGGGGGGGAACCCUGAUGCAGCGACGCCGCGUGGGUGAAGAAGUAUUUCGGUAUGUAAAGCCCUAUCGGCAGGGAAGAAAUUGGACGGUACCUGACUAAGAAGCCCCGGCUAACUACGGGCCAGCAGCCGCGGUAAUAAGUAGGGGGCAAGCGUUAUCCGGAUUCACUGGGUGUAAAGGGAGCGUAGACGGCGCCGCAAGUCUGGAGUGAAAGCCCGGGGCCCACCCCCGGGACUGCUCUCGAAACUGCGUCGCUGGAGUACGGGAGGGGCAGGCGGAAUUCCUGGUGUAGCGGUGAAAUGCGUAGAUAUCAGGAGUAACA
rnacentral:rRNA from 1 species